UAUGGGGGAAGUCCUUGUGUGUAUAUGUUUGUCUUUUUUGGUUGAUAAAUAAAGCACUGUUGGCCAAUAGGGAAUCAAGUUAGGUGGGACUAGGAGUCAAGGAGGAUUCUGGGAAAUGUAGUAAAGAGAAGUCUUGUGAUCCAGGAAGGAAGUGACAUAGUAGGCAGACUUAUAAGUCUGGAGAAGCAGGAAAUCACUCUCUUCCUUCCCCUCUCUUCUCUGGGAGCUGCCAUGUGAGCCCAACAAGAGAGGAAGCAUGCUGUCGGCGUCCUCGAUCAGAUAAGUCUUUAUAAAAUAUAUAGAUUAAUAAUUAUGGUUGAUACUUAAGACAGAGAUAGGAGAUAAGAAAUCCUAGGCAUUGGCCAGCAGCAUUGUACCUAAUAUUAAUCUCUGUGUGUUAUUUGGGGCCCUAACAUGGCGGCAGGCAGGGCUCGGGCGGCUUGGAGGAAAGGCUUAUCGUUACAUCUUUCUGUUAGUAUCAUUCAUUUGAAAACUGAGCAUUUGGAGGGAAAAUGUCCCCUUUGGGGUUUUGUCUAGAAGAACUACACUAGCAAAACCAGGGUAGGAAUUAAAGUAUUCCCUGAGUGUGCAUCUUCCUUGAAUUACCCAUACCCUCCUCUCAUCUUCAUUUCCCCAUAUACAUGGCUACACCAAAAAUUUGUUUCCUUAAUCUUUUCUUCUGCUUCUUGCUGGGUGGGGGGGCUAUGGAUCUGUGAACCAAAUUCUCAAUUGUACACACACACUGUAACCUCUGUCUGUUGUCUCUUGUCCUCUAUAACCGGCAAGUUACAGUUCUCUUUGGUGACAUAAUACCUAUAGCUGAUUUAGAUAUUUCCAAAAGGAUAUCCAAGCCAUGCCAGAGUCUCAAUGACGCUUUAAGCCAGUUGAAACAAAGUUUAGAACCAUGUGCUGCCUUCUUAGAUUAGCUUAGAUGCUGCAAUGAAGUUUGAUUCUUUCUCCUAUAGCAGUGUAAAAGAUGGGCAUGGAACAGCCUCCUCCUGACUUUACAAUGCACAAGGAGGUGCUAAGGCAAGGGAUCCUGAUUGAGAACUGAUUUGCCAUGAGAAUUCACCAUGGAGUGUAAAGGGCAUUUUCAGUGAAACUGGAUAGAUCAGAGCUGUAUUUCAUUUAAGGCCUUUAAGCUCACACUGAAUUACACCAUGAGCUCCCUGGUUCUGUGGCUGGCAGAUGGCAGACUAUGAAACUCCUGGAUUUAUGGACUUCCUCCAUAACUAUGUGAGCCAAUCCAUACAAUAAAUCUUUUUCUAUGUACAUGUUAUUGGUUCCAUUUCUCACUUAUAUAUUGCACUUAAACUUCAAAUCUAAGUUGUGGUCAGCUAGG
rnacentral:lncRNA from 1 species